rnacentral:ncRNA from 2 species
ACCGGUGCCCCGUGCGAGCGGGGCCUAGAGGGAAUUUUACGGGUAUCCCGGACCGGAAUGGCCGGUGCGCGAUGCUGCGUGAAAGCUGCCCCCGCAACUGUUUCCGGAGAGUGCCUGUCCGAUUGUGCCACUGGUGCCGGGUCCGGAUAAUCGGACCGCGCCGGGAAGGACGGGCAGGGCGAAGACCCGGAUAGCCGGGAGGUCUGUCGUU